rnacentral:piRNA from 1 species
UAAAGACUGCCUGAUGUUCUUGAAUCACCU